rnacentral:rRNA from 1 species
UACAGAGGGGGCCAGCGUUAUUCGGAAUUAUUGGGCGUAAAGGGCGCGUAGGCGGCCAUGCGUGUCUUCCGUGAAAUCCCUCGGCUUAACUGAGGGCGUGCGGAAGAAACUGCAAGGCUCGAGUCCGGGAGAGGGGGGUGGAAUUCCCAGUGUAGCGGUGAAAUGCGUAGAUAUUGGGAGGAACACCGGUGACGAAGGCGGCCCCCUGGACCGGUACUGACGCUCAGGCACGAAAGCAUGGGGAGCAAAAGGG